CCAAGGAAUGCAGCAGGCGCGUAAAUUACCCAAUGUGGACUCCACGAGGUAGUGACGAGAAAUAUCAAUGCGGGGCGCUUCGCGUCUUGCUAUUGGAAUGAGAGCAAUGUAAAACCCUCAUCGAGGAUCAACUGGAGGGCAAGUCUGGUGCCAGCAGCCGCGGUAAUUCCAGCUCCAGAAGCGUAUGCUAAAGUUGUUGCAGUUAAAAAGCUCGUAGUUGAAUUUCUGGUGUGGGAGCCCAGGCCUCGGUGCGAAUGCGCCUUGUCUUGCCUUGCGGCUCCUUUGCCAUCCUCGUUUUUCUUUUGAAGAACGUCAUUCACUGUAAUCAAAGCAGAGUGUUCCAAGCAGGCCGUAGGGCCGGUAUGUUUAUUAUGGGAUGAUCAGAUAGGACUCGGGUGCUAUUUUGUUGGUUUGCACAUCUGAGUAAUGAUUAAUAGGAACAGUCGGGGGUAUCCGUAUUUAGGAGCUAGAGGUGAAAUUCUUGGAUUUCCGAAAGACGAACUACAGCGAAGGCAUUUACCAAGCAUGUUUUCAUUA
rnacentral:rRNA from 1 species